GAUGAACGCUAGCUACAGGCUUAACACAUGCAAGUCGAGGGGCAGCAUGUUGGUUGCUUGCAACCAACGAUGGCGACCGGCGCACGGGUGAGUAACGCGUAUCCAACCUUCCGCAUACUCGGGAGUAGCCUUUCGAAAGAAAGAUUAAUGCCCGAUGGUUUCCCGAAUCCGCAUGAGCGCGGGUAUAAAGAUUCAUCGGUAUGCGAUGGGGAUGCGUCCCAUUAGCUUGUUGGCGGGGUAACGGCCCACCAAGGCUACGAUGGGUAGGGGUUCUGAGAGGAAGGUCCCCCACAUUGGAACUGAGACACGGUCCAAACUCCUACGGGAGGCAGCAGUGAGGAAUAUUGGUCAAUGGGCGAGAGCCUGAACCAGCCAAGUAGCGUGAGGGAUGACCGCCCUACGGGUCGUAAACCUCUUUUAUAUGGGAAUGAAGAUAAGUACGCGUACUUAGUUGCAUGUACCUUAUGAAUAAGCAUCGGCUAACUCCGUGCCAGCCGCCGCCGUAA
rnacentral:rRNA from 1 species